rnacentral:lncRNA from 1 species
AAAAGUCACAUUCUUGGGUGAAACAAGUCUGAGCCUUCAAAGAUGGCUAAAUUGCAGAUCCUUUAAAAAAAAACGACUCUCCUUAGAAGGUUAGUGGAUACAGUUUGCUUCUCUCUACCACAGGGCAGCAGGAGGCUGGGGAGGGUGGGGGAGGAAUGGGGGGCUCACCAUGCCUCCAGUGGAGGCUUGGCAAGACCUCCCAACACACCAUCCUUGAGAUGACCGCAAACUUGCGCCUCUCCUCCUCGUGUACCUUUACCUUUUGUCUUUUUCCAGACAAAAGAGAGAGGAACUGGCUCAGAAGGUGGCGGAAGAGAGAACCCGCCGAGAGGAGGAGGCCCGCCAGCUGGAAGCUGAGCAAGCUCGGGAGAGGGAAGAGCAGCUGCGGCGGCAGGAGGAGGAGCGGGCCCGGCGCGAGCAGGAGGAGGUGGAGCGUGUCCAGAAACAGAAAGAAGAAGAAGCUCGUGUUCGAGAAGCAGCAGAGAGGGUCCGACAGGAACGGGAGAAGCAUUUCCAGAGAGAAGAGCAGGAGCGCCUGGAGAGAAAGAAGGUAAUUGCACCACCCACAGAAGCUGGGCCCCCUCACUAUUCCUUCUAGAUUGAAGCCAGGUAGACACCUAGAAACUAGUUCACUGCCAUCAAAAAACAAAUGUGUUCUGUCUAUUCCAGAUAAACUAAAGUAGCUCUAGUAUUCUCCUCCAAAGAAAAGCACUCUUGAUGUUUCAGCCUUCAACAAAAACAAUUACUUCCAAUUCAUGUGGUGUUAAGCCAGUUUCAGUUUUGAAUAACUCCAGUUAAGACAAUUUUCCGAAAAUAAUAGACAUGUUUCAAUGACCUGCUAUUUGCUUACUCAGUGAAAUGCGCCAAGCUAGCUUUCUUUCUCUAUCUGAUGUGUUUGUUCAAUUCUUCCUUUCUUCCAGCGACUUGAGGAGAUUAUGAAAAGAACCAGAAGAACAGAAGCUUCAGAUAAGGUAUUGAGAUGAGCACUGUUAAAGCUAUUAUUAACGGAUUUUUUUUUCACUUGUAAUCUUAACAUUAAAACAUCUUUCUUUUUCCUGUUAGAAAAUUGUUGAUCAGAGAAAUGGAGAUAUAGCCAAGGGAGCUCUCACUGGAGGAACAGGUAUUUCAGUGAACUCAAAUCAAUUCAAAUGCAUAAUUUUUGAAUUGACUCUCUAGAGGUCAAGAUAAAAACACUGAUUUAAAAUUUUAAAAAACUCAUUGACUAAUAGAACCUUAGGUACAUCUAGUCCAUGAAUCCCCUUUAUCUAAAAAUCUCUAGCAUUUCUAGCAAAUUUUUUCACGUUUGUUUAUACUCUAAUGGUGUGGUUGAUAUGUUCAAGUCAGAGUUCCCAUUGUGGCA